UACGGAGGGCGCGAGCGUUGUCCGGAAUCGCUGGGCGUAAAGGGCGCGUAGGCGGCCCUGGUAAGUCUGCGGUGAAAGCCCGGGGCUCAACCCCGGGUCGGCCGCGGGUACUGCCGGGCUGGAGUGCCGUAGGGGCAGGCGGAAUUCCGGGUGUAGCGGUGGAAUGCGUAGAGAUCCGGAAGAACACCGGUGGCGAAGGCGGCCUGCUGGGCGGCGACUGACGCUGAGGCGCGACAGCGUGGGGAGCAAACAGG
rnacentral:rRNA from 1 species